rnacentral:rRNA from 1 species
UACAGAGGGGGCGAGCGUUGUUCGGAAUUACUGGGCGUAAAGGGCGCGUAGGCGGCCUAUUAAGUCAUACGUGAAAUCCCUCGGCUCAACCGGGGAACUGCGUGUGAUACUGAUUGGCUUGAAUUCGGGAGAGGGAUGCGGAAUUCCAGGUGUAGCGGUGAAAUGCGUAGAUAUCUGGAGGAACACCGGUGGCGAAGGCGGCAUCCUGGACCGAUAUUGACGCUGAUGCGCGAAAGCCAGGGGAGCAAACGGGG